CUGUGAUCAUCUGCACAUUUCUGCCCCUUUGUUCCAGGAGACGUGAUGAACAGAAGCACCGUCAGAGCCUGUCUAUCGACCAACAGGAUGGAGCCUGAACCGGGCCUUUCUCUGCCACACGGAGGAGACGCUGCUUUGUGACGCUCGUCUCGUCUGGACGAUCUGAUGCAGGCAGCGACCAGACGGUCCAGAAGCAAACUGCACCAGCCAAGACGUACAACCCCCGCACAUACAACAUCGUGUAGAGUGAGGUGUUAAUGAGCCAGCUGUGGAUUCAUGUCCCACCUCCUCCACCAGCGCCACAGGUUCCUGCAAAUCCACAAAAGGCCGCUACCUCACGGUCCGAUGCUCUGCUGCUGCGCCACCACCGCACCAGCAAACAAGCCGCGCUGUUUCAGAUGUGGGGAGCAGCGUGGUGUUUCCUGAUUGGAGCUGACUACAGCAAGGCCACAGCCAAUUAUCUCAGCAGGCCCACAGACUGUGAUCUUCAGACGCAGCGGUUAGUUUGCCUCCAGAGGAAGGAGAGGACCUGCAGUGUGUGUUUGGAGUCUGGUUGAAAGGUUUAUGUUAAGUUGAGUCUUUUGAUUCCAGCUCAGCAGCUGCCUGUGAUCAGAGCCAUCCUUGUCUGGUAUCAGCUUGUUCACCUGAGGCUGUUUCUAGAGGAGCGCGUCCCCCAGAUGGAACAGUCUAUACUGGAAGCACUGGUCGACUGCUCGGGCUGCAGUGGCGGCGGUGAAGUAGAACUCAUGAUUGCACUUACAGUAGAUCAACACAAACCAGCGGCACAAGCCUCAGUCCAUGAAGC
rnacentral:lncRNA from 1 species